AGAAAAUGAAAAUGAAUAAUAGGGUAAUUUUUUUGACAGUGCCGCCGAUCUACUGGGCUUGAUAUCUCGGUGGGAGCUUCGAAGCUAGAAAGUAGCUUUGUCAACUUCAUAAGCCCCUAUAAUCACAAUCUUGAAUUAUUCAGAGAUGUUGGUGCUAACAAUCAGACAGGCGAGACACAAAACCAGAGCCCUCUUCAAUCAUCCUCCAUAUUCUCAAUCCGCCAUUAACAAGAAUACCCUUUUGUUCUAUCUAUUUUACUCCACUAAUACUCCUUUUGCCGCAUCCUCAAAGGCAAUCCCUUCAUACCCAUAUCCCUUUUUACCAGUUUCUUCAAAUGUUUUGUCAACUUCAAGAAUCGGUGAAUUGCAGCAGAAAGAUGUUGUUUUAUCCUUUAAAGAGUGGUUCAUGACCAGAAAAAAUCCACUCUUUGAUCAGAUCUUUGAGAUAUUACGAACUAAAGAUGAUAUUACAGCUGAUAUAUCAAUGUCGAGAUUCAAUCUUCGACUCUCUGAGGCCUUGAUUCUUGACGUGUUAAAUUAUGAGAAAAAUAAAGAUGUAUUGUCGUGUUUGAAAUUCUUUGAUUGGGCGGGUCGACAACCCGGUUUUCAUCAUACUCGUUCUACUUUUAAUGCCAUUUUCAGGAUUUUAGCUAAGGCCAAGUUGAUGUCUUUGAUGGCUGAGUUCUUGGAUAAGUAUAUGAAGCAAAGGUAUUUCCAUAAAGCUAGGUUUUACAAUACUUUGGUAAUUGGGUAUGCGGUGGCGGGCAAGCCUGAGCUUGCACUCCAACUGUUUGGUAGAAUGCGGUUUCAGGGUGUUGAUUUGGAUGCAUUUGCUUAUCAUGUGUUACUUAAUGCUUUGGUGGAGGAUGGUUUCUAUGAUGGGUUUGAUAUGGUUCUAAAGCAGAUUAAAUUUAGAGGUUUUGAGGAUGCAAUAACACAUGCUAUAUUCGUUAAGAGUCUUUGCCAGCAAACAGAGCUGGAUAGAGCUGAGGAGUAUCUUAGAGACUUGUUGAGGAAUGGAGGGGUAGGAUUGAGUGGGAUUGUCGUGGCUAAUCUUGUCGAUGCUUUAUGUAAAAAUAAGCAGUUCACAAGAGCUGCAAGUUUGGUGCAGGAAUUCAGAGAGUCUGGUUUGGUUUCAAUGGAACAGGCAUAUAGUGUGUGGAUUAAGGACCUUGCUCAGGCUGGGGAGCUAAGUGAGGCAGUUGAAUUCUUGAAAGGCAAGAAACUGAUUGAUGGGUAUGUUCCUGACGUUUUUCGCUAUAACAGCUUAGUGUGUCGGCUUUUAAGAGAAAAUAGGCUGGAGGAGGUUUAUGACUUGCUGAUGGACAUGAAGGAUCAAGAUAUAAUACCUGAUGAUGUCACCAUGAAUGUAACUUUGUGCUUCUUCUGCAAGGUAGGGAUGGCAGAUGUUGCCGUCGAGCUAUAUGACUCGAGGGCAGAAUUUGGCCUCUCUGUAAGCAGUAUGACCUAUAACUAUCUUAUAAAUACUUUAUUAGGUGAUGCAAGUGUUGAUGAAGCAUAUCUUGUGUUGAAGAAUGCCAUUCAACAAGGUCAUUUCCCUGGUAGGAGGACAUUUUCUAUUAUUGCUGAUGCUCUUUGCCGAGAGGGGAAGCUUGAUAGAGUGAAAGAGUUGGUUCUUGCUUCUCUGGAACGGAAUUGCGUGCCCAGUGACGCAACCUAUAACAAGUUCAUAUCAGCCUUAUGUAGGGCCAGCAGGGUGGAAGAUGGAUACUUGGUACAUGGAGCACUUAGCAGAUUCGAUAAGGUUACUAGCAGGACUACUUAUUUUGACUUGAUUAGUGGCUUUAACAAGUCAAGCAGGGGAGAUAUUGCAGCAAGAUUGUUAAUAGAAAUGCAAGAAAAAGGUCAUAGUCCAGACCGUCGAUUAUACAGGGCGGUUAUUUGCUGUUUAUGUCAAAUGGAGGAUCCAGAUAAGCUAUUUUACAGUUUAUUAGAGGUUCAAUUGUCUCGGCAUGAACCUAGCUGCCUUGUUUAUAAUUACUUCAUUGAUGGAGCUGGUCAUGCUGGAAAACCUGAGCUGGCCAGAGAUGUAUAUGAAAUGAUGAAGAGAAACGGUAUCACACCAAAUCUGCAGUCUGACAUUUUAAUCUUGCAAAGUUACUUAAAAGCUGGAAAAAUUGCUGAUGCCUUAAAUUACUUUCGUGAUUUGUCAAAUAGAAGAGGUCUAGGAAGAAAACUAUGGAACAACAUGGUUGUUGGGCUUUGUAAAGCUAACAAGCCUGGAAAUGCAUGGAACAUGUUCUGGGAGAUGAGGUCAACUCAUUUGAGGCCAAGUAUGGAAUGCUAUGAGGAACUUGUUAAGUUGCUUUGCUCACAUAGAGAUUAUUAUAAGGCUGUUCUUUUGGUUGAAGACUUGAUGCAAGUUGGUCGUCAGGUUUCAUCCUUCAUUGGCAAUGUACUUUUGUUACACUCAUUACAAACUCAUAGAGUCUUUAGUGCUUGGAUGCACUCAAGAGACUUGAGCAAUACAAAGGAUAACAGCUUAGCUCUAGGCGAUCUGAUCAAGACUUUCUCUGGUGGUAGUGAUCUGGAGAGUGAUAUUUUGCAAAUUGAAGAACUGAUUCGACAAUGUUUUCCCCUUGACAUCUACACUUACAAUUUGUUGUUGAGAAAACUAACCAUAAGCGAAAUGGAUCUUGCUUGUAGUUACUUUGAGAGAUUAUGCAAGAAAGGAUAUGAGCCAAAUAGAUGGACUUACGAUAUAUUAGUUCACGGUUUCUUAAAAGUUGGCCGGUCUUCUGAGGCUAGAAGAUGGAUGGAAGAAAUGUUCAGUAAAGGUUUUGAUCUGACUGAGGCUACGAAGACAUUUGUUUAAACUAUUGAUGAAUCUCAUUCAAGAUGUAAUGGGGUUCCUCAUUCAGGUUGGUCUGCUUGGCUGUGAUUGUUGAUGUGGCUGUCUGAAAGUAAGCUGGUGGCACAUGAAACCUAAAUAGAAAUAUUAGUGCAUUUGAAGAUGGAGUACUAUUGGUAUCGGUUGUCCUGAUUCCUACAGAGUUAUGGGGCCGGGCUGGAAAAGUUCUCUGGGUUUAAUGCAUCAGUCAGUCAAGUAACCAUUAUAAUGGGUGCCAUGUCCUGUGCUCUGAGUGAAUCUAAAAGGUAGAGAAGCAGUAGCAGGAACAUGGAGAAAAGCCUCAACGGUGUGAUGCAAAUUGAUUAACAAGCUUACUUGGUUCAGUAUUUUAAGCAGGCCCGAUGAUAACCAAGCUUCUGCUGGGUGGCUCCGAGAAAGGAGAGAGGACCGUGAGAACUGGAAAGACAACUGCUCUACUUCUAUCCAUUACACCUUUUCUUGAGGUAGUCACAACUUAUAGCAACGUGGAAGGUGCCUUGGUCCAUGUAAAUGUCAUCUAGCCAAAGGCACUAGUGCAGUGCUAUUAGAUUCAGCUAUAUUUAUGUCCAUAAUCAACUUCAUGGAUAGCAGCCAUAUGAAAUUAAGAGUGCUGCUCCUAGUAGUUUCUGACCGUGCUUCGAUCCUGGAACAGUCAUUUUGUUGCUCAGGCCUUUCAAUCUUUCUCUGCCGCUCGUAAUUAGCCUUGGGGAAUACUUGAGUAUCUAGCCUGCGGAAGCUUGAAACAUGUCUUCCAUGAUGGCGUUGUUUUGAUAAACUACUCUACGUGGAGGUCCUCCUUUAUAUUAAUAUAAGAUGAGCUUAUUUGAUGUCUCGUCUGACAAAUAGAAGACUUACUAUUUAUUGCAGCAGACUGGAUGUUUCUUUGUGCUUUUGGGUUUGAGAAUCUCACUUUUAUCAUGAAGAUCCAUCAGGCAUGACUUGCAACUGAGAGAGUUUACUUGUACAUCGUCCCAGCUUUUAUGCUUGAUACAUCCCACAAGGCUUUUUGUUUGUACUUUUGACAUAAAUAUUAGUUUAUUCCUUUUUUUUUUUUGGUUGAUUUUGUGGAAAGCCAGCAUUGGAAUCCCAACUAAAUUCGGAUUGUCCAUUGCAGGCUCAUUUGGUGGUGCCGCUCUCAACAUUCUGUUUUCCAUAAAAUUAGUUUACUCUUUGUUAGUACUAAGGUGGGAUGACUGAGCUGGCUGUGGUCUGGAAUUGCUUAGGCAACUCGCAUCAACUGCUCUACCUAUUUUGUAAUUUGAUUAAUUAUAAAUUAUAGGGAAAAGGGCUGAAUAAACCCCCCUAUAUUAUUUAAAAUGUGCCCCACUUUUAUCAUCUGUUAUAUGUUUGAGCCAAAAAUGUCUUUCAACUAGCAAAAUAGCUCAAAACUACACUUGGAAAUAUUUGGUUAAUUUUGCCUUGGACAGUUUGAAAUAGGA